rnacentral:rRNA from 1 species
GACGAACGCUGGCGGCGUGCUUAACACAUGCAAGUCGAACGGAAAGGCCCUGCUUUUGUGGGGUGCUCGAGUGGCGAGCGGGUGAGUAACACGUGAGUAUCCUGCCCUUGACUUUGGGAUAACUUCAGGAAACUGGGGCUAAUACCGGAUAGGAGCUCCUGCUGCAUGGUGGGGGUUGGACCGUUUCGGCGGUUGUGGAUGGACUCGCGGCUUAUCAGCUUGUUGGGGGGGUAGUGGCUUACCAAGGCUUUGACUGAUAGGCGGCCUGAGAGGGUGACCAGGCACAAUGGGACUGAGAUACGGCCCAGACUGCAACGGGGGGCAGCAGUGGGGAAUAUUGCACAAUGGGCGGAAGCCUGAUGCAGCGACGCUGCGUGCGGAAUGAAGGUCUACGGGUUGUAAACCGCUUUCGCCUGUGACGAAGCGUGAGUGACGGUAAUGGGUAAAGAAGCACCGGCUAACUACGUG